rnacentral:rRNA from 1 species
CCUACGGGAGGCUGCAGUGGGGAAUAUUGGGCAAUGGGCGCAAGCCUGACCCAGCAACGCCGCGUGAAGGAAGAAGGCUUUCGGGUUGUAAACUUCUUUUAAGAGGGAAGAGCAGAAGACGGUACCUCUUGAAUAAGCCACGGCUAAAUACGUGGCAGCAGCCGCGGUAAUACGUAGGUGGCAAGCGUUGUCCGGAUUUACUGGGUGUAAAGGGCGUGUAGCCGGGCUGACAAGUCAGAUGUGAAAUCCCGUGGCUCAACCACGGAACUGCGGUUGAAACUGGCGGUCUUGAGUAUCGGAGAGGCAGGCGGAAUUCCUAGUGUAGCGGUGAAAUGCGUAGAUAUUAGGAGGAACACCAGUGGCGAAGGCGGCCUGCUGGACGACAACUGACGGUGAGGCGCGAAAGCGUGGGGAGCAAACAGGAUUAGAUACCCCUGUAGUC